rnacentral:miRNA from 1 species
UGAAAACCAUAUUCCUAGCUC